AAGUCGUAACAAGGUUUCCGUAGGUGAACCUGCGGAAGGAUCAUUCACUUUUCAUUUGGAGAAAUCCAUUUUAUUCCAAUCCACUUUUUCGUGCCGCGUUCUUUUUUUCAAAAUCCUGAGUAGUGAACGGCCAGGACAGCACGCGCUUCGUGUGUUUGUGUUUGGCUUUUAUUAUAUAUUGAAGUUUCACGAAACGGUCGAAAAUUUUUCUAACAUCGGGUUAGCAAAAACCUUUUUCGAACCUGCAUUUCAGUACGUAGAGCUCAUUCAUUGGUGCAGGCUAUUUGUUGUCUUUGAUGCUAGCUUUUGUCUGGCGUCCACUCUUUUUUGUAUUGGCUUCCAAGAAAUUGGGCUGAUUUACGAAACUUUGUUGAAUGUCUCAACACACAACUCUUUGCAAUGGAUAUCUUGGUUCUC
rnacentral:misc_RNA from 1 species